AGACGCGUGAGGAACCUGCCUCAAAGAGGGGGACAACAGUUGGAAACGACUGCUAAUACCGCAUAAGCCCACGGGUCGGCAUCGACCUGAGGGAAAAGGAGCAAUCCGCUUUGAGAUGGCCUCGCGUCCGAUUAGCUAGUUGGUGAGGUAACGGCCCACCAAGGCGACGAUCGGUAGCCGGACUGAGAGGUUGAACGGCCACAUUGGGACUGAGACACGGCCCAG
rnacentral:rRNA from 1 species